GUGAUUGGUCAGAAUGACUGAGAGCCGAGGACGCUGCUGCUAACAGCGUUAGCUUCCAACAGUGGAGCUAAACUCUACAGCCAUGAUGGGAAUCAUUGGGAACAUCUGAUGUGAUCCUGAGAGCUACGUAGAACAUGAACGUUCGGCUGCCUGAGCUGGAAGAGUCUUCUCACCUUCUUCAUCCCUGAUAGGAAGAGCAACUUAUGUCAUCCUCAUCUAUUCCAGUAACAACAAUAAUGCUGCACUGCCGAUUCAGCUGCCUCUCUUCAUCAUGCACACUUGUUUUGUGACUGUUACGUAAUAACGCUUCACUGUAAGCUGGACAACACAUUUAUUUUACCCAUGUAUUACAUACUUUUACACAUCUUUUCAGUUUAGAUUUGUAGUUUUUAAAUGUGCAAUAAAGGCAUUAUUGAACUUCUUGCCCUGAA